rnacentral:rRNA from 1 species
UGCAAGUCGAGCGGCAGCGGGAGGAAGCUUGCUUCCUCGCCGGCGAGCGGCGGACGGGUGAGUAAUGUCUGGGGAUCUGCCCGAUGGAGGGGGAUAACCACUGGAAACGGUGGCUAAUACCGCAUAACGUCGCAAGACCAAAGUGGGGGACCUUCGGGCCUCACACCAUCGGAUGAACCCAGAUGGGAUUAGCUAGUAGGUGGGGUAAUGGCUCACCUAGGCGACGAUCCCUAGCUGGUCUGAGAGGAUGACCAGCCACACUGGAACUGAGACACGGUCCAGACUCCUACGGGAGGCAGCAGUGGGGAAUAUUGCACAAUGGGCGCAAGCCUGAUGCAGCCAUGCCGCGUGUGUGAAGAAGGCCUUCGGGUUGUAAAGCACUUUCAGCGAGGAGGAAGGUGGUGAGCUUAAUACGCUCAUCAAUUGACGUUACUCGCAGAAGAAGCACCGGCUAACUCCGUGCCAGCAGCCGCGGUAAUACGGAGGGUGCAAGCGUUAAUCGGAAUUACUGGGCGUAAAGCGCACGCAGGCGGUUUGUUAAGUCAGAUGUGAAAUCCCCGAGCUUAACUUGGGAACUGCAUUUGAAACUGGCAAGCUAGAGUCUCGUAGAGGGGGGUAGAAUUCCAGGUGUAGCGGUGAAAUGCGUAGAGAUCUGGAGGAAUACCGGUGGCGAAGGCGGCCCCCUGGACGAAGACUGACGCUCAGGUGCGAAAGCGUGGGGAGCAAACAGGAUUAGAUACCCUGGUAGUCCACGCCGUAAACGAUGUCGAUUUGGAGGUUGUGCCCUUGAGGCGUGGCUUCCGGAGCUAACGCGUUAAAUCGACCGCCUGGGGAGUACGGCCGCAAGGUUAAACUCAAAUGAAUUGACGGGGGCCCGCACAAGCGGGGGAGCAUGUGGUUAAUUCGAUGCACGCGAAAACCUUACUACUCUUGACUCCAAAGACUUACCAGAGAUGCUUGGGUGCUUCGGAACUCUGAAAAGGGGCUGCAUGCUGU